rnacentral:rRNA from 1 species
GACGAACCGUGCGAACGUUGUUCGGAAUUACUGGGCGUAAAGGGAGCGUAGGCGGAUAGUUUAGUCAGAGGUGAAAGCCCAGGGCUCAACCUUGGAAUUGCCUUUGAUACUGGCUAUCUUGAGUACGGAAGAGGUAUGUGGAACUCCGAGUGUAGAGGUGAAAUUCGUAGAUAUUCGGAAGAACACCAGUGGCGAAGGCGACAUACUGGUCCGUUACUGACGCUGAGGCUCGAAAGCGUGGGGAGCAAACAGG